UGUGCCUGUGUGACGAGCCAUGGCUGCAGUGCAAGUGCAGGCACAAUGAGAGCUGAGGCGCUGCAGCGUGCCUGAGCUCCCCAACCUCAGGCUGGGCAUGUGCAGGUGGGCACACUAAGCUGCCAGGGCCAGGCAGUUGGUCUACACAUACCCACCUCUGCGCUGUCUCAGCACAAGAUAAUGGCUUUGACAGCAGGCAGCAUUGCUGAAGAAAGCAAUGGAAGAAAAGUCUCCAUUUUGAAAACAUUAGGGAGAAGAGAAUAAGAUAGAGGAGAAGGUGGCCAACAAGAAGGCUGGUUGAAAAGACCCACCCAGAGCUACAUGGAAGACAGUUGUCUCAGACUCCAGGACAUGCAGGACUAGGGCUGCUUCUCCCCAUGCAUGAGGAGGCUCUGAUGGAGACACUGGAUGAGGAGGCCACAGACUUAGGAGGGAAGGACGUGUUGAAGAAGUGAACCACUGACUCAAGAGGUGGUGCUCCCGAGCAGGCUUCAGUUUCUUCGACCAGAGCGCGCACUUCAGGGAGAGAGGACUCCUGGGAAGGGACGGCAUCCAACUCAUGCGGAAGGUCAGCAGCACCGGAUGAACUUCAUUCAAGAGUGCUGAAGAAGCUGGCCAAAGUCAUCGUGAGACCUCUGGCAAAAUUCUUCCAAAACUCGUGGUGCUCGGGGGAGGUCCCUGAAGACUGGAAGAGGACCAGUGUUGUGCCCAUCUUCAAGAAGGGGAGGAGAGAAGACCCAGGCAACUAUAGGCCAAUUUGCCUAAUUUGUAUCCCAGGGGAAAUCCUGGAAAAAUUCAUCAUGGAGUCUAUGUGCGAUAGGCUUGCAGAAGAUAGGAUUCUGAAUGACAGCCACCAUGGCUUCAUCGUGGGCAGGUCUUGUCUUACCAAUCUCCUUCUACGACCAGACCGGGUUUUCAAUAGCACUGUGCACAUCAGGAGAGACUGAGAUGAAGAGUCAGAAGUUGCCAGCAUCUUGAAAAACUGAAAUUCAUACCUCCUUGCAGCCCUAAGUACAUGUUAAGUAGAGGGGAAGGAUAGCGUGUCACCUCAACAAGAACCAGAGAAAGACAUAAAACAUGAAACACUGCUGCUAUGAGGAUUCAACCAUCUCCAAAAGAGAAAAGAAAAUAUGUGGUGCUGCACAUUUUUUAAAAGUGUGUCUGGAAAACAAUUUGAUUCUGUUCCUACAAUAAAGUUUAAUGUUUUGGAUGCAA